rnacentral:rRNA from 1 species
UUUGCCUACGGGGCGCAGCAGUGAGGAAUAUUGGUCAAUGGGCGGGAGCCUGAACCAGCCAAGUCGCGUGAAGGAAGAAGGUACUUAGUAUUGUAAACUUCUUUUGUCGGGGAACAAAGGGCGCCACGUGUGGCGUUGUGAGUGUACCCGAAGAAAAAGCAUCGGCUAACUCCGUGCCAGCAGCCGCGGUAAUACGGAGGAUGCGAGCGUUAUCCGGAUUUAUUGGGUUUAAAGGGUGCGUAGGCGGUCCGGAAAGUCAGCGGUAAAAGCCCGGGGCUCAACCCCGGAGAGCCGAUGAAACUGUC